rnacentral:lncRNA from 1 species
CAGAGUUUCGAGCGCCGCUUCCUAGCGGCGCGCACACUGCGCUCCUUCCCCUGGCAGGUGGGCGGCGGGGCGAGCGGAGAGGCCUGCGGGGCUUGCGGAAGUCCAGGGGCAGACGGGAUGGGUCUCCCUGCUGAAACCCCCGGCGCUCCUGCCACCACGAGGCUGUCCACACGGAGCUUUUGGACGAGCUGUACGAGGCGCUGGCAGAGACCCUGAUGGCCAAGGAGUCCACCCAGGGCCACUGGAGCUAUUUGCUGCCCUCGGAAGGCUCGGUCACACUCUCCGAGCACAGCCAUCAUCUCCCACGGUACCACAGGCCUGGUCACAUGGGACGCUGCCCGCUACCUUGCAGAAUGGGCCAUCAAGAACCUGGCAGCCUUCACUAACAGACGUGCUGUAUUGCCCAGAAGCCAUCGUGUCCCUGGUCGGGGUCCUGCGGAGGCUGGCUGCCUGCUGGGAGCACCAGCGGGCUCCUGAGGUCUACAUGGCCUUUACCGUCCGCAACCCAGAGACGUGCCAGGUGUUCACCACCGAGCUAG